rnacentral:rRNA from 1 species
UUGAACGCUGGCGGCAUGCCUUACACAUGCAAGUCGAACGGCAGCACGGGUGCUUGCACCUGGUGGCGAGUGGCGAACGGGUGAGUAAUACAUCGGAACAUGUCCUGUAGUGGGGGAUAGCCCGGCGAAAGCCGGAUUAAUACCGCAUACGAUCUACGGAUGAAAGCGGGGGACCUUCGGGCCUCGCGCUAUAGGGUUGGCCGAUGGCUGAUUAGCUAGUUGGUGGGGUAAAGGCCUACCAAGGCGACGAUCAGUAGCUGGUCUGAGAGGACGACCAGCCACACUGGGACUGAGACACGGCCCAGACUCCUACGGGAGGCAGCAGUGGGGAAUUUUGGACAAUGGGCGAAAGCCUGAUCCAGCAAUGCCGCGUGUGUGAAGAAGGCCUUCGGGUUGUAAAGCACUUUUGUCCGGAAAGAAAUCCUUGGCUCUAAUACAGUCGGGGGAUGACGGUACCGGAAGAAUAAGCACCGGCUAACUACGUGCCAGCAGCCGCGGUAAUACGUAGGGUGCGAGCGUUAAUCGGAAUUACUGGGCGUAAAGCGUGCGCAGGCGGUUUGCUAAGACCGAUGUGAAAUCCCCGGGCUCAACCUGGGAACUGCAUUGGUGACUGGCAGGCUAGAGUAUGGCAGAGGGGGGUAGAAUUCCACGUGUAGCAGUGAAAUGCGUAGAGAUGUGGAGGAAUACCGAUGGGCGAAAGGCAGCCCCCUGGGCCAAUACUGACGCUCAUGCACGAAAGCGUGGGGGAGCAAACAGGAUUAGAUACCCUGGUAGUCCACGCCCUAAACGAUGUCAACUAGUUGUUGGGGAUUCAUUUCCUUAGUAACGUAGCUAACGCGUGAAGCUGACCGCCUGGGGAGUACGGUCGCAAGAUUAAAACUCAAAGGAAUUGACGGGGACCCGCACAAGCGGUGGAUGAUGUGGAUUAAUUCGAUGCAACGCGAAAAACCUUACCUACCCUUGACAUGGUCGGAAUCCCGCUGAGAGGUGGGAGUGCUCGAAAGAGAACCGGCGCACAGGUGCUGCAUGGCUGUCGUCAGCUCGUGUCGUGAGAUGUUGGGUUAAGUCCCGCAACGAGCGCAACCCUUGUCCUUAGUUGCUACGCAAGAGCACUCUAAGGAGACUGCCGGUGACAAACCGGAGGAAGGUGGGGAUGACGUCAAGUCCUCAUGGCCCUUAUGGGUAGGGCUUCACACGUCAUACAAUGGUCGGAACAGAGGGUUGCCAACCCGCGAGGGGGAGCUAAUCCCAGAAAACCGAUCGUAGUCCGGAUUGCACUCUGCAACUCGAGUGCAUGAAGCUGGAAUCGCUAGUAAUCGCGGAUCAGCAUGCCGCGGUGAAUACGUUCCCGGGUCUUGUACUCACC